ACGAAGGGGGCUAGCGUUGUUCGGAAUCACUGGGCGUAAAGGGCGCGUAGGCGGCCGUUCAAGUCGGGGGUGAAAGCCUGUGGCUCAACCACAGAAUUGCCUUCGAUACUGUACGGCUCGAGACCGGAAGAGGUAAGUGGAACUGCGAGUGUAGAGGUGAAAUUCGUAGAUAUUCGCAAGAACGCCAGUGGCGAAGGCGGCUUACUGGUCCGGAUCUGACGCUGAGGCGCGACAGCGUGGGGAGCAAACAGGA
rnacentral:rRNA from 1 species